GUCCACGCCGUAAACUAUGGAUGCUAGCCGUCGGGGAGCAUGCUCUUCGGUGGCGCAGCCAACGCAUUAAGCAUCCCGCCUGGGGAGUACGGUCGCAAGAUUAAAACUCAAAGGAAUUGACGGGGGCCCGCACAAGCGGUGGAGCAUGUGGUUUAAUUCGAGGCAACGCGAAGAACCUUACCAGCUCUUGACUUCCUGGUCGGGGCUCCAGAGACGGAGCUCUUCAAUUGGCCAGUGACAGGU
rnacentral:rRNA from 1 species